rnacentral:rRNA from 1 species
AGUUUUUCUGGUGCUUGCACUAGAAAAACUUAGCGGCGAACGGGUGAGUAACACGUAAAGAACCUGCCUCAUAGACGGGGACAACUAUUGGAAACGAUAGCUAAUACCGGAUAACAGCAUAAAUCGCAUGAUAUAUGUUUAAAAGUUGGUUUCGGCUAACACUAUGAGAUGGCUUUGCGGUGCAUUAGCUAGUUGGUGGGGUAAAGGCCUACCAAGGCGACGAUGCAUAGCCGACCUGAGAGGGUGAUCGGCCACACUGGGACUGAGACACGGCCCAGACUCCUACGGGAGGCAGCAGUAGGGAAUCUUCCGCAAUGGGCGAAAGCCUGACGGAGCAACGCCGCGUGAGUGAAGAAGGAUUUCGGUUCGUAAAGCUCUGUUGUUAGGGAAGAAUGAUUGUAUAGUAACUAUAUACAGUAGAGACGGUACCUAACCAGAAAGCCACGGCUAACUACGUGCCAGCAGCCGCGGUAAUACGUAGGUGGCAAGCGUUGUCCGGAAUUAUUGGGCGUAAAGCGCGCGCAGGUGGUUUAAUAAGUCUGAUGUGAAAGCCCACGGCUCAACCGUGGAGGGUCAUUGGAAACUGUUAAACUUGAGUGCAGGAGAGAAAAGUGGAAUUCCUAGUGUAGCGGUGAAAUGCGUAGAGAUUAGGAGGAACACCAGUGGCGAAGGCGGCUUUUUG